CCUACGGGUGGCAGCAGUGAGGAAUAUUGGUCAAUGGACGAGAGUCUGAACCAGCCAAGUAGCGUGAAGGAUGACUGCCCUAUGGGUUGUAAACUUCUUUUAUAUGGGAAUAAAAUGUUCCACGUGUGGGAUUUUGUAUGUACCAUAUGAAUAAGGAUCGGCUAACUCCGUGCCAGCAGCCGCGGUAAUACGGAGGAUCCGAGCGUUAUCCGGAUUUAUUGGGUUUAAAGGGAGCGUAGGUGGAUUGUUAAGUCAGUUGUGAAAGUUUGCGGCUCAACCGUAAAAUUGCAGUUGAAACUGGCAGUCUUGAGUACAGUAGAGGUGGGCAGAAUUCGUGGUGUAGCGGUGAAAUGCUUAGAUAUCACGAAGAACUCCGAUUGUGAAGGCAGUUCACUGGACUGCAACUGACACUGAGGCUCGAAAGUGUGGGUAUCAAACAGGAUUAGAUACCCUUGUAGUC
rnacentral:rRNA from 1 species